rnacentral:lncRNA from 1 species
CACAGUCUAUUUGUUACUUUCUUUGCAAAAGAAACUGAGGAUGCUUUUUAGUUACAUAACCCUAACAAAAAUCCAAAGACAGUUAACCAACGUAUAUGCCUUUCCUCCCGUACCUAGGGGAGACAAAAAAAAAAAAAAGAAAGAAAGGGGGGAAAAAAGCAUGUGACAUCCUGUCGCUUGAGAAGGAGGAUUUUAUUUUACAGAGUAAUCCCCGGCUAAAUACUUUGAAAGUCAAAUUUGCAGGCGAGAGCACGUUUUCCAAGCCUUAUAUGCCCCUGUGAAAACGGUGCUGUUAAUGGCAGAAAGCGUGCUCCCUCCUAGCAGUGCUAGGGCGCUGCUGGAAUAAGCCUCCCCAGCACUUGCCUGUGGCCUCUGCACUGUGCACACUCCACACGCCCAGUGAGCGACAGAGACUUUACCUGCUCUCUGCAUGUGCGAAAUUUUUGAGAACUGGACUCUGCAUCACGACUUGUCUACCAUUCCGACUUCCAGGUACAGCCAGGUGGAGGUGGCUGGGAUUUGCACACCUAUAUGGGCCCUUAAGUACUACCAAGUCUGGCUAUUUGAGAUGUUUUGUGGCUGGCACACCUCAUGAUCUGACAGCAGACAUAACUUUUCUUCAACUUUGGUGUUGCAUUGGUCAUCUAGUUCAUCAUGUUAUCACAACAGUGAGAUUAAUACUAACACUAGCUGCAAUCAUCUCUUUCCUGAUUGAAUGCUGUUCUUUUGCAUUUUGUGCUUGAUGGUAUGCAUCUCAAGAGAAGUGUGAAUCUUUAGUUCGAAAGAAUCCCGAGGUAAACUGAUCCCGAGCUUCAGUCCCAUUUAAUUCCAGUGAUACACCAACAAAUGGUGAACAAAAGACUAGAAAUAACAGAAGAAAUGACUGGAGAAACUGAAGAUCAGCUUUUGGCCUGAAUCAAGAGUUUUUACUCUGCCUUGCAGAUGGAUGAGUUUGCAGAUGCUGCUGCUGCUAAUUCUCUUGAAUUUAUAACACACAAGUUUGAAACUGAGCUAACUGGAGAUCUCCUGUGUUGCCACACACUAUCAGCUCAAAAAUAUGCAGAAAACAAAGAUAGAAUAUCAUCAUUGGUUCCCUACAAGAAAAUGUUAUGAAUUAGUAAUUGCAUGAGAUUGGCUUUGGGACGGGCUUUCAAUGACUGGAAGACUUCCUUGGUUGUUGGAGGCCUUUAUAAAGUUGUCUUUAUUUCUACUGUGAUCAUGCAGAAACCAUUAGCCAACAUGAAAAGUAUCAUAGAUAAUUGUUGUGAAAAUAGUUCACUUUAAGAUUGACUUGCAAAGUCAUCUGUAUUUCCAGCUUUAUGUAGUGAAAUGAGCAACAAAUGUGUGAGCUCCUGGUUUUGUUCUAAAGCAUAG